CCAACUGUAUCUGGGACUGAACCUUUUCUCACAAAAGGUGGCUGUGAGCCUGGGACACAGUGGGUUCUCCGAGACCGGGAUUGAUUCGAGGGCUGUGAUUCAAAUUCAAAGAAGACAGAAGAUCUGAUUGAAUUAGAAUUGACAGUGGGGCAGUCAUGGUCUGUAAGAACACUAAUCUUAAUACGAUGUGGUCAUCUUUGCCAAGGUGAGAAGUGGAUGCAAUUCCGAAAUGUCCUUGAACCAAUUGACUUGCUCAGCGAGAAAGCAGUGAAGAGUUUGCAAAGGGUUGGGAAUCACGUGCAGAGCAGAGCAGACAAUUACAUGAAGGAGCGAGACAAUGUAACAUUCUCUCGGUACGAAGCCAAGUGUGAUCAGCUCCUUCUAACAAACAGCAGGGUAUUGGAAGAAGAUGAUUUGCAAUGAGGAAACUUAAAACCAGGUAUCAUUUCUCAAUCUAACCAAGCUGCCGAGUUUAUUGUCGUCUGAAUGUCAUUGGGUUUUGCAGGAAAAAAGCACUGUUCACAAUAGGGGAGAAACCGUAUGUGUGUCGUACAUGUGGACAAGUCUUCAGCAGAUCAUCUGCCCUGUCUGGGAAAGGAUUCACUCACCUUGCUGAAACCCCAGCACAUUCACACAGAAAACAGACCUUUGAAAUGCUCAAUGUGGGAGGUGCUUUAAAAACUCUGGGGCACUGAUAUCCCAACAACAUGACGAGAGACCCUUUAUGUUCUUUCACUGCGGGUGUGGGUUCAAGUCGUCGUGCAACCUCAUUAAACACCAGCAGAUCCACACUGGGGAGAGACCAUUCACCUGAUCACACGACAGGAAUGGAUUGUCUCAUAAAACCAACAUGUUAAAAUACCAGCGAUCUCUCGGAAGGUAGAAGCUGUUCUGCUGUACUGACUGUGGGAAGAGAUUCAUUGUGAAAUCCAAGCUGCUGAAACACCAGCAUAUUCAUGAGAAAUGACAGUGCCUGGUUUUUACUGUGAACAUCUCUCUGCUUCAUAGUCUCAGCCAGAAGAUUUUGUUUCAAGUCCCACCUGAUGUGGAGCUAUAUCAAAGAACUUAAUUAUUUUUGUAAUUGAUAACUGAAUGAUAUCCACUGGGGCAGGAUUCUGCUGAAGUUAAUGAACUCCAGCUCAGUUAAAGGGAUGACUAUUCCGGAUGACAAGGGAAUAAAUGCACUUUGUGUUAAACACACUAUAUCAAACCUAUUUCUCACUUCUAAGUGCUGAUUGAAGUGAUCUCCCUUUUACUGUAUUGUGGAA